GAUGAAGAACGUAGCGAAAUGCGAUAAGUAAUGCGAAUUGCAGAAUUUCCGUGAGUCAUCGAAUCUUUGAACGCACCUUGCGCCCUUUGGACAUUCCGAAGGGCAUGCCUGUUUGAGUAUCAUGAACACCUCAACUCUCACGGCUUGUCCGUGAUGAGCUUGGACUUUGGGGGUCUUGCCGGCCUGUGGUCGGCUCCUCUCAAAUGGAUCAGCUUGCCAGUGUUUGGUGGCAUCACAGGUGUGAUAACUAUCUGCGCUUGUGGUUUUCCAUCAGAUAACCUUCAGUGAUAUGGAGGUUCGCUGGAGCUCACAAAUGUCUCUCCUUAGUGAGGACAGCUCUUUGAACGUUUGAUCUCAAAUCAGGUAGGACUACCCGCUGAACUUAAGCAUAUCAAUAAGCGGAGGA
rnacentral:misc_RNA from 1 species